UCCUUAGCGUCUGAGCGCUGCGAGGGCGAACGCGCGCUCCUCCCCGGCCGUCAGGAAAGACUGUGCUUAAGGAGAAACCACACCUUCUUGCAUCCCAUUGCUAACAACCAUUGAGGAAAAGCAGCAGUCUACCAGCCUCAGAAGCUGCUGAAUAUUUCAGGACUAAUGGGACAUAUUCAGAGGUGUUGCUUUACUCUUGUAGAUGCUUAUUCCAUCGUAGUUUCUCACAAAGUCCCACUAGGAAAUCACAGUGGAAGACGUCUUACCAUCUUUUCUCUGGCAGUCACCACUAUUGCUGUAGCACAUGGAAAAGUCACCGCUUGUGUCAGUGAUAAUACUUUACUAGGCCAAGCAGUCCUGGCCUCUUUCAUGCUACAGAUGUCUUGGUUGUAAGCUGCCUCCAUGACUUGCUUUUUGUCACAAACAAGAGAGGAGAAAAGAAAGAAGAAAAAAGAAAAAAGAAAGAAGAAAAAAAGAAA